rnacentral:rRNA from 1 species
UACGUAGGGGGCGAGCGUUGUCCGAAGUUACUGGGCGUAAAGCGCGCGUAGGCGGUCCCUUAAGUCUGACGUGAAAGGUUCAGCGCUCAACGUGAACAGUGCGUUGGAUACUGGGGGACUUGAGUGCGGGAGGGGAGAGUGGAAUUCCUGGUGUAGCGGUGAAAUGCGUAGAUAUCAGGAGGAACACCGAUGGCGAAGGCAGCUCUCUGGCCUGUAACUGACGCUGAGGUGCGAAAGCGUGGGGAGCGAACAGG